rnacentral:rRNA from 1 species
GACGAACGCUGGCGGCGUGCUUAACACAUGCAAGUCGAACGGUGAAGCGCCUUCCUUUUUGGUGGGUGUGGAUGAGUGGCGAACGGGUGAGUAACACGUGAGUAACCUGCCCCCUUCUUCUGGAUAACCGCAUGAAAGUGUGGCUAAUACGGGAUAUUCUGGGUCUGUCGCAUGAUGGGUCUGGGAAAGCUAUUGUUUCGGUGGGGGAUGGGCUCGCGGCGUAUCAGCUUGUUGGUGGGGUAAUGGCCUACCAAGGCGGUGACGCGUAGCCGGCCUGAGAGGAGGUUCAGGCAAGAUGGAACUGAGACACGGGCCAGAGUCCUAAGGGAGGCAGCAGUGGGGAAGAUUGGACAAUGGGGGAAAGCGUGAUCCAGCCAUACCGCGUGGGUGAAGAAGGCCUUCGGGUUGUAAAGAGCUUUUGUUGGGAAAGAAAAGAAGCAGGUUAAUACCACGCUGUUCUGAGGGUACCCAAAGAAUAAGCACCGGCUAACUUCGUG